GAAUGGUUUGUGAAUGAUGAUUCAAUUAGAUGUGUGAAUGGUUUCAUUAUGAGCUCAAAAACUCUAUUUGGCAAUUUUUCUGACAUUGCCAUUC